rnacentral:lncRNA from 1 species
CCACAUAAAUAAGGUACAUAGUCCUCGAAUGGUGUAUCAUAAAUUAGUCCUGGAUCAUUUGCCCUAGAUGGAUUAACAUGUCCUGCACCGAUUGCAUAGAUGUCAGCAGGAAGGAGCCUUUCGUUUAGUAUUGGACUGUUGGCAAGGUUUAACGUGUCAGCAGUUGUCAUGAUUGCAGACUUAAUAGCAGCAGGAGACCAAUCAGGAUGUGUGCUCUUCAGCAGAGAUGCUACGCCACUAAGGUGAGGGCAAGACAUCGAGGUGCCUGAUAUAAUAUUGAAUGUAGAUUUGGUAUUUUUGUUGUCAUCCACGGAGGUAGGCCAAGCAGCAAGAAUAUUAACACCAGGACCGAUUAUAUCAGGUUUCAAGAUGCCAGGACUAGCUCUACUUGGUCCUCUUGAGGAAAAUGCAGCAACUAUAGGAGCAUUUUCGUCUCCAAUUAUUGUUCCUUGGAAUGUGAUUGUAGCAACUGGAUUUGAUGUUGAGUUCAUAUAAGCAAGGAUUUUUGUUCCAUCUGCAUCUGAAAUAUCCAAUGCUGGAAGAACAUGAGCAUCAGCUGAUUUAGUGACACCGUAAUAUGACCGGUUAAUGAUAAUCAUGCCAACACCUCCAGCAUCCUUUACAGCUUGUCCUUUAUCAACCCCCGGAACUCCACCACCGGCCAAACAUAUGACUAUAUUUCCUCUUAUAGCAGGGUCAGUAAGUGACCCUGGUCUGCAAUAAGGGGUUUCAAAUUCGUCACUUGCAUUUCUUCCAGCAUCAAAUAGAGUGAAGAAUGUUGAGUUGGAAAUCUUUGGCUGAUAAGCAGAUUCUCCUUCAAAUUCCUCUCCAUUUCCAAUCUUAACAGUAGCUUUUAGCUUUCUAUCAUGAGUGCUAGCGCCUACUGUAAGAAUCCACGGGGCUGCAUUUCCUACUGAGCCAGAGAAAGGACCAUUAUUGCCGGCAGAGCAACUUACAAGAAUACCUCUUUCUGUUGCACUAUAUGCCCCAAGAGCAAUAGGAUUACUAUGGAAAUCACUCGAACGACCUCCACCAAGAGAUAUAGAAAGGAUAUCUACGCCAUCAUCUAUAGCUGCAUCCAUAGCAGCUAAGACAUCAGUAUCAGCACAACCAUCAGAAUUGCAUACCUUAUAUACGGCUAUGUGGGCAAAAGGGGCAACACCAGCAGCAGUGCCAUUAGCACUCCCAAAUACAUUGGCACCAUUCACAAACGCUCCUGCUGCUGUGCUUGCUGUGUGUGUACCAUGUCCAUCAUCGUCUAUCGGGGAACCAUUGCCAAGUUGGUAAGACCUCGCUCCAAUGAGCUUGUUGUUACACUUGUUUGUGAAAUUGGACUCACAAACUCCUUUCCACUUAGCAGGCGGAGGUGGCAUCCCAAUGUCGCUAAAUGAAGGAUGGUCAGGAAGAAUUCCAGUGUCUAUAACUCCGAUGAUCACGCCUUUCCCAUAGUUGGAAUCCAUCCAUACACCAAUGUUCUGCUGCAAACCAAGAAAACUUGGAGUAUGAGUAGUAUCCAAGGACAAAAUCCUCUGUUUCUGAGCAGAGACAAAAGCCGUGUUUCUUCUCCAUUUCCUUCACUUGUGCUGCAGUUAAUCUUGCUGACAAAACCUUUCAUCACAUUGUGAUAGGAAUAGAUCAUGCUAGCAGCCUCUUCAUUUCCACUUGAGCUAAUCGCGGUAGUAGUUUUAGGCAAAAAAGAAAGGUAAUAGCUCUCUAAAUCGGUUAACGAUGAUUGAGUAGAAAUUAGGUUUUCAGGGGAUUCAACAUGGACUAUAUAAGUCUCGAAAUCACUCUGAAUAGUAGGCCAUGGGAAAGAACAAAAGAUGAAAACAAGAAGGAUUUUCAAGAAUCCCAUGGUAUAGUAAUAGUAUAUAAAAAUGUUAUGAUUGGAAAAUGAAUUUGAUGAAGUUUUGAGAUUAGAAGCUAUCUAUAUAGAUUUGAAAAUGAAUUUGAUGAACUAUACACAUUCAUUUUAUUUUGCUCCACUUGCAAAAUCAUAUUGAUGAACUCUGAGUGUGAUGUGUAUUGAUUGUUUUUAUGAAUAUCGAUGUUUAAGGAUUAUUUUCAUCUUACUUUAAAUUAUCAAUUUCGAUCGUUUCUUUAAUUUUGCGUUUAAUUGCUUGAUUGUAUCACAAUAAUUAAGUUCUAUUUAUUAUCUAAUGUAUUAGAAAAGAAUUAAGUAGGGCAUGAUCUAAUUCCCUAGAAUUAGGGCAAGUAUUUGCAGCUUAGACAGGGAUAUAUCUAGUUGUCGUGUUCAACCAACUAUCGUAAGAAAACAUUAAUUCCAUAGAAAUAUAGGUGACAGUCUAUUUUGAUUAGGUGAGUAGUAGUUCGGAAGAAUACCAUGAAUAUUAGUAACUCGAUUAAUUAGCAAUAAUUUAUAAUUUGAAUUAACAGGAAAUAGUUUGAGAACUCGAUAGAAUUGGUGAAUCAAACCAAAAAAAAAAUAUCAGUCUUAAUUAAUCAUUAAUCACCUAUAGUAAUAAGACGUUGACCCCUAUGAAAUGGGGUCAACGAAUUAAAUGGGAAAACCCUACCAAGGUUCUUGGUAGAUGUAUGUAUUUAAUGUCGGUGAAGAUAUAUUUUGUGUGGUGCUGGCAAAAUAACCCAUAUGUUGGUAACCCAAUCAUAUUUUAAUGGAUUGGGUGAAUGGUUUUUUUAUAUGGGUUUGGUUCAUACCUCUAUUCAACCCAUAGAAAUAUGCCUAUUUAUAGUAAGUAAAAUAUGAGAAAAUGUUUCCAAAUAAACUUAUUUUCUUCGAUCAAAAGAUCACAGCAAAGUUUAAAAUAUUUUGAAUAGCAAGGAAAAAUUAUAGUCAAAAAGAAAAUUAUUUGACUCCGCCAAAUAAAUUAUCGUCGGUUAAAAUAGGACGGAGGGAGUAACAACAUUCAACUACAAUCAAAAUGAGUACUUGUAGUUUCACUAGAAUAACACAAUUGCAAUUGGACUUCUCACAGAGUGCCUGUUAGAAGUCCACUUCAAGAAUCCCUCUAUAACCCCAGGGUUUGAGCUGUUGGUUGUCUUGGAAAAUGUCACUUGGUAUGUCAAUUUCUGAUUCAGCAUUGAGAAAUUUAGUUUGGAGGGUUUAACUUUCAUGACAACGCCUUUUGGUGAAGCUAUUUCCACCUUGUAAGAUGAUUUGGCGUCACCAACGUUGGUCACAGUUCUGGUGUAUGUUUGAGGAGUUGAUCCAAGUCUGAUGGAAAAUGAAGGAUAAUUUAGUUGUGCUUCAGGGAUACUUUUUACCUCCGAGCAUUUCACCUUGCGUUGUAACAGGUAACCUACCUCUCGACUUGUGUAUUUCAAACCACAUAAAUAAGGUACAUAGUCCUCGAAUGGUGUAUCAUAAAUCAGUCCUGGAUCAUUUGCCCUCGAUGGAUUAACAUGUCCUGCACCAAUUGCAAAGAUAUCAGCAGGAAUGAGCCUUUCGUCUAGUAUUGGACUAUUUGCAAGGUUUAAUGUGUCAGCGGUUGUCAUAAUUGCAGACUUAAUAGCAGCAGGAGACCAAUCAGGAUGUGCGCUCUUCAGCAGAGCUGCUACGCCACUAAGAUGAGGGCAAGCCAUUGAGGUGCCUGAUAUGAUAUUGAAUGUGGAUUUGGUGUUUUUGUUGUCAUCCACGAAGGUAGGCCAAGCAGCAAGGAUAUUAACACCAGGACCGAUUAUGUCAGGUUUCAAGAUGCCAGGACUAACUCUACUUGGUCCGCGAGAAGAAAAUGAAGCAACUGCAGGAGCAUUUUUAUCCCCAAUUAUCGUUCCUUGGAAUGUGAUUGUAGCAACAGGGUUCGAUGUUGAGUUCAUAUAGGCACGAAUUUUCGUUCCAUCUGCAGCUGAAACAUCCAUUGCUGGAAGAACAUGAGCAUCAGCUGAUUUAGUGACUCUGUCAUCUGGACUGUUGAUGAUAAUCAUGCCAACACCUCCAGCAUCCUUUACAGCUUGUCCUUGAUCAACCCCCGGAACGCCACCAUCUGCCAAACAUAAUACUAUCUUUCCUCUUACAGCAGUGUCAUUGAGUGACCCUGGUUUGCAAUAAGGGGUUUCAGAUUGAUCACUUAUAUUUUCUCCAGCAUCAAAUAGAGUGAAGAAUGUUGAGUUGGAAAUCUUUGGAUGAUAAGCAGAUUCUCCUUCAAAUUCCUCUCUAUUUCCUAGCUUAACAGUAGCUUUCAUCUUUCUAUCAAUAGUGCUGGCGCCUACAGUAAGAAUCCACGGGGCUGUGUUUUCUACCGAGCCUCUGAAUGGACCACUAUUGCCUGCAGAGCAACUUACAAGAAUACCUCUUUCUGUUGCACUAUACGCCCCGAGAGCAAUAUUAUCACUAUGGAAAGGAAGCCUACUACGUUCACCAAGAGACAGAGAAAGAAUAUCUACGCCAUCAGCUAUAGCUGCAUCCAUAGCGGCUAUGAUAUCAAUUUCAGCACAACCAUCAGAAUUGCAUACCUUAUAUAUGGCUAUAUGGGCAAGAGGGGCAACACCAACCGCUGUACCAUUAGCAUUCCCAAAUACAUUAGCACCUUUCACAAAGGCUCCGGCAGCUGUGCCUGCUAUGUGUGUACCAUGUCCUGUAUCGUCUAUCGGGGAACCAUUGCCAAGUUGGUAAGACCUCGCUCCAAUAAGCUUGUUGUUAUACUUGUUAGUGAAAUUAGACUCACAAACUCCAUUCCACUUAGCAGGCGGAGGAGGCAUCCCAACAUCGCUAAAUGAAGGAUGAUCAGGAAAAAUUCCAUUGUCUAUAUCUCCGAUGAUCACACCUUUCCCAUAGUUUGAAUCCUUCCAUACACCAAUGUUCUGUUGCAAACCAAGAAAACUUGGAGUAUGAGUAGUAUGCAAGGACAAAAUCCUCUGUUUCUGAGCAGAGACAAAGCCGCGUUUCUUCUCCAUUUCCUUCACUUGUGCUGCAGUUAAUCUUGCUGCAAAGCCUUUCAUCACACUGUGAUAGGAGUAGAUCAUGCUAGCAGCCUCUUCAUUUCCACUUGAGCUAAUUGUUGUAGUACUUUUAGGCAAAAAAGAAAGGUAAUAGCUCUCUAAAUCCGUUAACGAUGAUUGAGAAGAAAUUUGGCUUUCAACAUGGACUAUAUAAGUCUCGAAAUCACUCUGAAUACUAGGCCAUGGGAAAGAGCAAAAGAUGAAAAUUAGAAAGAUUUUCAAAAAUCCCAUGGCUGCAAAUGAGCUAAAGAAAAUGUAUUUGAUGAACUUUUGUAUUUUGAAGCUACACUAUUUAUAAGUACUUUUACCUUGAACUUUCACUUCCAUUUUUAUUUUGCUCCUUUUGCAAAAUCAAUUUGGAUCAACUCACAACUGUGAAUUCACACUUACUGUGAAUUUGGAGGUCCCUUAUUAAUUUUGACUAGUAUCAUUAUUGUGAACAAGACUUACAAUUUCACUACUAAAAACACGCGAAUUUCUGAUGAAAAAUUCCUAGGAAAACCCAUUUGGAAUAUAAGAUUAACAGAAUAUCCAUAAUAAAUCUUCCACGAACAAAUUUCCCUCCUCCAUCGGAGUUCUCAUCGCGUAUUUUUAUGUUUGGACACCAUGAAAAUGUUGCUUAUAGCAAUGUUCAACUAUAUUAUUAACUAAAAGAUAUUCAAAUAUCACCACCAUUAGUCAUCUUACGAUAUUUUUCCUUGAAGGAAAAUAUCAUAACGUUAUUAAAUUUGGUGGUCCGUCUUCCCUUCCUAUCGCAAUGUAACAUCAAAUAAAUUACUUUAUCUUAAAUUUAAGAUCCAUAUUUUCAUUUAUUAUUUGUUACCAACCAAAUGUGACGCUCAAAUCGGUAUAGAAUAGUCUACAACUUUUUAUGUGGCUAUAGUGGCAAAUCAGUGGCUGUUGCUAUCUUUUUUUUUUUAGAAAUAGAAAUCUAACAAAAAUAAAGUUAUAUCAUUUAAGUGUUCGAGAGAAAGAAUGCGUAAAAUAGAUAAUUAAGCCUUAAUCUCAACUAAGUCGAGUUAUGAGAUUCGUCAUGAAUUAACAAAUUUUAUGCUGACUUGACAAAUCCACCGCAAUUCUCAUCCUUUAUCCAAACUUAAGAUCAAUAAUGUGCACAAGCUCACACUUAGCAAACCUAAAAUGAAAAGAAAAUCAAGAUCUAAAAUAAAUGUAUAAUUGGACAUUGAUGUUUGACGUAUCAAUGGAUCUAAUAAAUAAAUAGGGGAAACCCUACAAAGGUUAUGGGUAGAUGAAUGUAUUAAAUUUCGAUGGAUAUAUACUUGAUAACAUGUUGCCCAUCGGUCAAUCCUACAGAGCCCACUAUUUAAUACUCCCUGUCAUGUUUCGUUUAUUGAAAGUCAAUUUGACUAAUUUUUUAUGUUGAAUCAGAUUAAAUUAAUUAAUAUUUCAAAAAAUUAAAAUUAUAUACGAACGGAUUAAAUAACAUAUUUUGGACACCCUUAACACAACAAGCUGUUAUAGCCAAAAGAUUUUGUUGUGCAAUUUUUGAACACCCUUCUUGAAUUUCUGAUUCCGCCAUUUAAGUCAUGAGGACCUCCGUUUAUUUUGACAACAAAAAUAGGGAUCGUCUUUACUUAAAUGACUUACGACCAAAUUAAUCACUUUUUGGAAUGCAAUAAGGACCAAAUGGAACCAAAACUCCUACAUUAAGGGCAAUUUUGAUCAUUUUAGACCAUGUUCGAGCCUUGAGUAUGAAAAAGUCUUGAUAGGGAGCCGUUUCAGUCCCUCUUGAAUGAGUAUUAUGUGAUGCGAAUUCAUGGUACAAAAAUUAUUUGAUUCUCAAUGUUUAAAGAAAUACUACUAAACAUUCAUUGAGCCCAAUUACAAUCAUAUACUUGCCUGGAGAACUAAAAAAUGUAACAUAAAACAUUUAAUGAAAAGAUACAGCAAUCCACUAUAAUUAAUUGUGACUACUUUCUGCACUUAUUUUACACUUUAGAUUGAAAGCAUUUUAGUUUCAUUCAGCAGACACUCUAACUGCAAUUGGACUUCUUACAGAGUGCCUAUUAGAAUUCCACUUCAAGAAUCCCUCAACAUCACUGGUAGUUGAGAUAUUACUUGUCUUGGUAAAUGUCACUUGGUAAGUCAACUUCUGGUUCAACAUUGAAAAAUUUAGCGCGGAGGGUUCAACUUUCACGACAACUCCUUUUGGUGAAACUAUCUCCACCUUGUAAGAUGAUUUGGCAUCACCAACAUUGGUCACGGUUCUGGUAUAUGUCUGAGGAGUUGAUCCAAGUCUGAUGGAAAAUGAAGGAUAAUUUAGUUGCUCUUCAGUGAUACUUUUUACCUCCGAGCAAUUCACCUUGCGUUGUAACACUUUACCUACCUCCCGAUUUGUGUAGUUCAAACCACAUAAAUAAGGAACGUAGUCCUCGAAUGGUGUAUCAUAAAUUAGUCCUGGAUCACUUGCUCUCGAUGGAUUAACAUGUCCAGCACCAAUUGCAAAGAGAUCCGCAGAAAUGAGCCUUUCGUCUAGUAUUGGACUAUUGGCGAGGUUUAAUGUGUCAGCGGUUGUCAUGAUUGCAGACUUGAUAGCUGCAGCAGACCAAUCAGGAUGUGCGCUCUUCAGCAGAGCUGCGACACCACUAAGGUGAGGGCAAGACAUUGAGGUUCCAGAUAUAAUAUUGAAUGUUGAUUUUGUGUUUUUGUUGUCAUCCACGGAG